GUAUUAACCGGAGAAGGAAGAGUCUUUCAAACUCCUCCUUAUCUCCAAAAAAGGCUGGAAAAAAAGAUUAAACUACACACUGGAAAUUCUUUUUCAUAGAAUAAGUUGAGUAAAAAGAAAUAUUUACAGGAGGAAGAACUGGAGUUACAGAAAACCAUUUCACAUCCUCGAGGUGAGGAGGCAGAAGACAGAAGCUCCGCGUCUUCGGAAAUAAACAAACACCAGCUGAAAGGACGAUGGAACAGUUGUGAGAUAUCGAUGAAAAGUCUGGUGUUGUUAUGAUUUACAAGAGACACCGAACAAAUAUUAAUUUUCGGACUUUCUGUUCUAAUAAAUCUGCUCACCUGAAGAUCAGAUCUCCCAAGGCUUUACCUUUCAAACUCCAACCAGAGAAUUGGCCGUGAUGUUCCUGCAGCACACUGGAACGGGAUCGACAUGUCUGUGUAAUGAGGUAGUGUGAGGAUCGGCUGAGGCUGAAUGAGGUGUCACAUUUUCUGUAACAAAAAACCCACCGGACUUCAGGCGUUCAGCGACUCUACACAGGACUUACAGCCGAGUCGUAAAAACGACACUUACAGUUACUUUGGGAUGUAAAAAUCCCAAAAAUGAUGUUAAACUCUGCGUAUUAAGAUAAACUAUAUGAUUAAAAAGUAUUGGGACACCCGACUUUUCCACCCAGAUGUGUUUCUUCCACAAACCUGGAGACACACAAUUGUUUCAUAUUUG